CGAAGGUUGCAAGCGUUACUCGGAAUUACUAGGCGUAAAGGGCAGGUAGGUGGUUUGGUAAGUCUAUUGUGAAAGCUCCCGGCUUAACUGGGAGAGGCCAAUGGAUACUACCAGGCUUGAGUAUAGGAGAGGUUACUGGAAUUCCCGGUGUAGCGGUGAAAUGCGCAGAUAUCGGGAGGAACACCAAUGGCGAAAGCAGGUAACUGGACUAUUACUGACACUCAACUGCGAAAGCUAGGGGAGCAAACAGGAUUAGAUACCCUGGUAGUCCUAGCCGUAAACGAUGCACAUUAGACGUGAGGGGUAUCGACCCCUUCGUGUCGACGCUAACGCAUUAAAUGUGCCGCCUGGGGAGUACGGCCGCAAGGUUG
rnacentral:rRNA from 1 species